rnacentral:lncRNA from 1 species
CAUGGCCUUAGAAUUUGUCAGAAUUAGAUGGCCUUCCGUUCUAUCGUGACUGAUUUUUCAAUUUGUCUUCUUGAAGUGUAGUUUUAUUCUACUUUUAAAAAUCAUUUAUAUGUUAACAGUGUCAAAACGUGGAUUAUCUGUUUAAUUAUUUAUGAACCUCAGCAGGAUAUUUUGUGUGGUCAUUGUCACAUAAAUGACUGGUAUGUGAGAAAAUGACUGCAGACUCCUAUAUCCAAAAAUCACAACAAAAAAAGACAGGAAAAGUAGGCAAGUAGCAGUAGUUAUGGACUCCAUGUUUGUGCCCCCUGCUGAGACUCUUAGGUUGAAAUCCUAACCCCCUAGUGGGGUGGUAUAGGAGAUGGGGCUUUUGGGAGGUAGUUAGGUUUAGAUAAGGUCAUAAAGGUAGAGCCCGCAGAAUGGAUUAAUGUCCUUAUAAGAAGAGCAAGAGACUAGAGCUUGCUCUCCACCACAUGAAGACAUAGCGAGAAGAUGGCCAUCCGUAAACCAGGAAGGGCCCUCCCUGGAACCCACCCAGGCUGGCACCCUGAUCUCAGACUUCCCAGCCUCCAUAACGACAAUUUUCUGUUGUUUAAGCUAUGCAGUCUUCGGUAUUUUUGUUACAGCAACCCAAGCUAAAACAGCAAUGAACUGUUCCCCAAGGUCAAGUGUGGGUGUGGAAUCCUGCUCCAGAGUCACAUCUAACAUACAAGAUUCAAGACCCAGUUUUCUGUCAGAACCUUCUAGCAACUCUCCUCCAGGAGCCAGUGUCCUGGUAUCCUGAGCUCACAUGAGCUCCCACCUCUCACAACUUUCGACUGACCCAGAUAUGACCAGAGUGACCACUGCUCUCUAUUCCUCUCACCAUAGAAGGACAACGGUGCUCCAUUCACAAUUCCUGUCCCUUCAAUGUUAGUUUUGAUUGAAAAAAGGGGGCUAGUGAUGAUAUUAAAACAGGAAGCCUCAGAAGUAUAUCUGCUCAAACUCAGGUGUACUGGAGCCUGUGGGUUUCAGGAUACUCUACCCUCGCUGGGUUUUCAACCCUUGACAUCCCUUUGAGAUUGAUUGCUUGCAUGAUAAUUCUUCCUAUGUAAAAUCACUGGGAGACACAACAACUGCCAUCAGAGUGAGCUUGAUUUCUAACACAAAAAUAUAAAUCUGACCUCCUUAAAGACCUCUCACUGGCUCUGCAUUCCUAGGGGAUGAAGCCCCACACUGCCUUCUACCCUCCCCUCUGGCCUCUUCUAAGAAAGAGGGGGCAUCAAAAAGAAGUAUAGUUGCAAAUCAGGGGGUUGGAGAAGAACCAAGAAAUGCAAACAAAGUUGGGGAGGGGAGUACAAUCAUCUCCCUAUAUUUGAACAAUGUGGUCACAUAAUGCUUGUUCCACCUUAAUUCAUACAAGGGCGAGAUUUGAAAAAAAAAAAAAAAUGCCUUCACCACUCAGUGUGUAAUUUGGCUCGUGUUUUGUGGGCUUGAAUCGGUGCCAGGUCUUUGCAGCUAUUAUGGGAAAGCCAGGUUUCCAAGUCACUUCUGUUUUAGGGACUAUUAAUCAUCAGUCCUCUAGUGGGAAGUGUUCACAGGAAGAC